UACAGAGGGUGCAAGCGUUGUCCGGAUUUACUGGGCGUAAAGCGUUUCGUAGGUGGCUUUAAAAGUUUUCUUUCAAAGUCCGAGGCUUAACCUCGGGAAGGGAGGUAAUACUGUAAGGCUGGAAAGUUAUCGGGGUUUUCGGAACUUGCGGUGUAGGGGUGAAAUCCGUUGAUAUCGCAAGGAACACCAAGGGCGAAGGCAGAAAACUAGGUAAUCUUUGACACUGAGGAACGACAGCUAGGGGAGCGAAAGGG
rnacentral:rRNA from 1 species